AGUGGCGGACGGGUGAGUAACGCGUAAGAAUCUAACUUCAGGACGGGGACAACAGUUGGAAACGACUGCUAAUACCCGAUGUGCCGCGAGGUGAAACCUAAUUGGCCUGAAGAAGAGCUUGCGUCUGAUUAGCUAGUUGGUGGGGUAAAGGCCUACCAAGGCGACGAUCAGUAGCUGGUCUGAGAGGAUGAGCAGCCACACUGGGACUGAGACACGGCCCAGACUCCUACGGGAGGCAGCAGUGGGGAAUUUUCCGCAAUGGGCGAAAGCCUGACGGAGCAACGCCGCGUGAGGGAGGAAGGUCUUUGGAUUGUAAACCUCUUUUCUCAAGGAAGAAGUUCUGACGGUACUUGAGGAAUCAGCCUCGGCUAACUCCGUGCCAGCAGCCGCGGUAAUACGGGGGAGGCAAGCGUUAACCGGAAUUAUUGGGCGUAAAGCGUCCGCAGGUGGUCAGCCAAGUCUGCUGUCAAAUCAGGUUGCUUAACGACCUAAAGGCGGUGGAAACUGGCAGACUAGAGAGCAGUAGGGGUAGCAGGAAUUCCCAGUGUAGCGGUGAAAUGCGUAGAGAUUGGGAAGAACAUCGGUGGCGAAAGCGUGCUACUGGGCUGUAUCUGACACUCAGGGACGAAAGCUAGGGGAGCGAAAGGGAUUAGAUACCCCUGUAGUCCUAGCCGUAAACGAUGGAUACUAGGCGUGGCUU
rnacentral:rRNA from 1 species